GAGCCCCCUCGUCCCUAGGGAUUCUGAGUGGCCUUUCAGCACCCACCCACCCUGAGCUUGUGCAUGCCCCGUGGGACCAGGACUGCUGAGGUGAGCAAGGGCGGUGGACGUCACUGCCUGUGCCCCCAGGACACCUGUGGCCCUCAGAGCGGGAGCUGCCUCAUCAGGACCCCUCUUGCACCCUGUUGCUUAGGUAGGGUGGUGGCAGAUGUGUACUCGCCCCCUCUCCAGAGCCCCCAGACCUGUCCCGGUGUCCCAUCUCACGGUAGGUCUCCUCCCAGUCACCCCGGGGCUGCGGGUGUCACCAGCCCAUGCUGUGCAGGUGGCGAGUGUGAGCAAACCUGGCCCCGGGCCCUGGCUACGUCUUCACUCGGCGCGGGCAAAGAAGUAAAAUAAGAUAAAAUGAAGAAAGUGGAAGCGCUUGAGGAGGUCUUCGUGUCGCCUCGUGAUCCACUUCCAGUCCAGGAAGCCCUGGAUCUGUAAGGUGUGUUCAUUUCGUUACCGUAAUUAGUUUGAGGAUUUUCAGGGCAAACAUGGUAGGAUUUCUCAGUUCAACUUUGGGGUGUUUGUUUUUUGAGAUAAAGCACACAGAAGAAGUUGCAUUGAUCUUUUAAUUCCUCAUGCAAAGAAAAAAUAUUUGCUCUUCUCUGAUUUAGUGUGUCUGAUUCUCACCGAGGCUGGAGGGGGUGGUGGAGUCCAGUCAGAGUGGACGCUGGAGCAUGGUGGCAUCCCGGCCCUGUCAUCACUGCCCCCUCACUGCCCAAAGAGGGGACAUGUACUGCCCCUUAGCGAGGAGCCGAGGACAUCCUGCACCCCCCUGCACCCCUGCUUUCCUUCUUCCUUGGGGCAGCUUUCCUAGGCCUCCCUGACUGCGGGGGUGCUGGAUGCCUCUGCCCAAAGCCCCACAUUCUGUGCCCCUUGGAGCCCUGAAGCUGCCCCUGCCCCCAGCAGCCUCUCCACCACUGUCCCUGCAGGCCUGCCUAGCCAGCUUCACCAGCCACACUGGGCUACACCCAAGCCUGGCCCCUGAAGCAGGAGGGCUCAGCAUCUCCAUCCGUGUGAUGUUACUGGCACCCCCUCUCAGGGUUGUUGCAAAUGCCGGAGAAACACAGAUGCUCUGUGGAGUGUCAUCGUCAGUGCCACUGUCACCUAAUAGGAUUCCUAGUCCCCCUGGUGUCCAGAGGCUCCGGCACCCAUGGAGAUACCUUGUGAGCCACAGUCCUCGUGGGAUCGUCCAGGUAGCGGCACCUCACAGCUGUCUCAUGGCCCAUCACUUUGUUGAGGAAGAAGUGGCCAGAGCUACUGUUUAUAAAAGCGACAGCAUCUGUGCCCCAGCCUCUUUGCAGUGUGCUCUGUGCCCCCAGCUAAGGACGCACAGACCCCACCCCACGGCACUUUCGGCCUCUGGGGGACAGGGAGAACAGUGGACAGUGAUGACCUGCAGGCUGGGGAGGAGCAAGCAGUAGGACACACAGACCCCACCCCAAGGCGCUCUUGGCCUCUGGGGGACAGGGAGGGCCGUGGACACUGAUGACCUGCAGGCUGGGGAGAAGCGAGCAGUAUGUCCUUCUGGAGAAGUGAAGCUGUGUGUCCCGGCACAGCUUCCCAGCCACCCUCCCUAGUGAACCUUGCCUCUUCCCUCCCCUCAGCUGUAGGAGGCAGGUUUUGGCAAAGGCCGUCCUUGGAGAGCCCCCUUGGUGGGUCUUAGGGUGUUUGCCAAAUCUGCGUGCUUUGCAAUUGACAAGCAUCUUAGUCUCUCUGGGCUGGUAUAACAAAAUAGCAUAGACAGUGGGCUUAGAAACAGCAGUCAUUUAUUUCUCAGAUCUAGGGGGGGGGAGGCCCUAAUCAAGGCACCGGCAGACCCGGCGUCUGGUGAGGGCCCGCUCCUGGUUCAUAGACAGCACCCUCUGCCGUGUCCUCACACGGUGGAACAGGGAGGGGCCUCUCGGCAUCUCCUUCAUAGAGGAACCAAUCCCUUCCCCGAGGGCUCCCGCUCAUGGCCAAUCACUUCCCAAAGACCCUGCUUCCUAAUACUACCACCUUGGCGUGAGGAUUUUAACCGAUGGAUUGGGGGAAACACAAACGUUCCAGCCGUAGCACGUUAUUUGGCCGAAACCCAGAAUACCAGGAGGCCAGCCCUCGCUCUGCAGCCGUCUCCCCUGAGGGCCCAGCCUGGAUUCAGGCCUUUUGGCUUGGCCAAAGCCCUUCUGAGUCCCACCCUGAGCCUUUGCGGGAGGGUGACGUCAUGUGCUUUAUUGCUUUGUUUAUGUGCUUCAGUCACCGUUCCGCUCCUGCAGCGACCAGUCAGGCACAGAACACUGAGGCCGCCAAAGACUGGCCCUUGGUUCCAGUUGCCCCCACGGAACUGUGUCUGGGGCCCAGUUGCCGAGGAAGUACCUCAGAGGACACCACUGACACAAGCCACAGGUGCUGACGUGGCCGCACCUCCCAGGGCUCCUUAGCAGGUCUGCACCUUGAGACAGGUGUUCACCCAAACAUGAGCCGUGGAGGGCUCCCUGCUGGGUAGGCCCGGGGUCUGCAUUGUCAGGGGCUGGUCGGGGCGGCCUCAAAGGGGCUGUGGUCUCCACCCAGCUCCUGCCUUCCCUCCUGUACAUUGAGCAGAGCACCUCCAGGGGGCUUUGGGUCGGCUCCCCCUCCUGUGUUCUCAUGAGAGGCUGCUCGAGCGUGGCCCGCUGGGACAGGAGAGGGACCACCAUUCCUGGGUGAGUCUACGACACUCACCUUCCAAGCCCCCUGCUUCCAGCCACUUAGGAGGAGGUGCGGUGUCCUGGCCGGGGAGGUUGUUAGCGUCUGCCCAGGGCGCCUGGGCUGAGCUGCGCUCGCUAAGACCCAAGUUCAGGAGUGGCGGCAGGAGAAGCCCCGCUCUCACUGCCUCACCGCCCUGCUUAUGUCUCCAGAUAAUCCCGUUGUAAUAAACUUAAUUCCUGCCAGUCCGUGAGAACCAGCCUGUGGACCUGUUGCAAAGUCCGCAUCAUGUGACUGCUCCUAUUACACUGUCAGUCUUGAUUAGGGUCCCACUCUGAAAUGUCAAGCUGUGGUCUUGUCUGCACUCCCUGAUUCAUUCAUAUCUUUUUAUAAUCAUUAUCAGAUGACACCUCUGUCACUUUGGAGAUGUGUAGCUAGGAGCGCUGGUGACACCCACAGUGAAGCCCAGCAAUUUUUGAAGUGAUUUCUCCUCAUUGGGAGCCACAGACCUAAUGUUGAGCAAAAAUUGAGCUGUGCGUAUUUAGAAAUCAAUUGAAAACAUCACAUUGCUCAGGCUCUGAAUGUGCGCGUGCUGAGUCUGCCUAUUCUUCUCGGUGGCCCAGGCCGCUCCGCUUAUUUUAAGAUAGAUCUCAUCGGUUGUGAAAAUGCUACUGUGGGCCGGGCGUGGUGGCUCACGCCUGUAAUCCCAGCACUUUGGGAGGCCGAGGCGGGCGGAUCACGAGGUCAGGAGAUCGAGACCACAGUGAAACCCCGUCUCUACUAAAAAUACAAAAAAUUAGCCGGGUGUGGUGGCGGGCGCCUGUAGUCCCAGCUACUGGGGAGGCUGAGGUAGGAGAAUGGUGUGAACCCAGGAGGCAGAACUUGCAUUGAGAUCGUGCCACUGCACUCCAGCCUGGGUGACAGAGUGAGACUCAGUCUCAAAAAAAAAAAAAAAAAAAAAAAGAAAGAAAGAAAA